GAUGAACGCUAGCGGCAGGCCUAACACAUGCAAGUCGAGGGGCAGCACAGAAACAGCAAUGUUUUGGUGGCGACCGGCGGACGGGUGCGUAACGCGUAUGCAACCUACCUUUAACAGGGGGAUAACGGAGAGAAAUUUCCACUAAUACCCCAUAACAUCGAUCAAGGCAUCUUGAUUGGUUGAAAACUCCGGUGGUUAAAGAUGGGCAUGCGUUGUAUUAGGUAGUUGGUGAGGUAAUGGCUCACCAAGCCUACGAUACAUAGGGGGACUGAGGGGUUAGCCCCCCACACUGGUACUGAGACACGGACCAGACUCCUACGGGAGGCGGCAGUGAGGAAUAUUGGUCAAUGGGGGCAACCCUGAACCAGCCCUGCCGCGUGCAGGAAGACGGCUCUAUGAGUUGUAAACUGCUUUUAAACAGGGAUAAAGCACAGUAUGUAUACUGUGUUGAAGGUACUGUAAGAAUAAGGAUCGGCUAACUCCGUGCCAGCCGCCGCAGUAA
rnacentral:rRNA from 1 species